CCUACGGGAGGCAGCAGUGGGGGAUAUUGCACAAUGGGGGAAACCCUGAUGCAGCGACGCCGCGUGAGUGAAGAAGUAUUUCGGUAUGUAAAGCUCUAUCAGCAGGGAAGAAAAUGACAGUACCUGACCAAGAAGCCCCGGCUAACUACGUGCCAGCAGCCGCGGUAAUACGUAGGGGGCACGCGUUAUCCGGAUUUACUGGGGGUAACGGGAGCGUAGGUGGUUGUGUAAGGCCGGAGGGGAAGCCGCGGGCCCAACCCCGGGACUGCUUUGGAAACUGUGUAACUGGAGAACAGGAGGGGCAGGCGGAAUUCCUGGUGUAGCGGUGAAAUGCGUAGAUAGCAGGAGGAACACCGGCGGCGAAGGCGGCCUGCUGGACUGAAACUGACGUUGAGGCACGAAAGCGUGGGGAGCAAACAGGAUUAGAUACCCCAGUAGUC
rnacentral:rRNA from 1 species